AAAACCAGUAUGCUGGCAUGGAGAUAUGACCUUCAUAUAGAGUCAAACAUAAGAAAGUAGAUGUCGGUACAUUAGGUAUGCGUACAGUUAUUAGGACAAAAAAAUUGACACAAGAAGCAUGAAGUGGAUACUAAAGUGGAAGAAUUAUCUUCUUGGGCCCAUGCCUCACCUCAGAAUCUUAUCACUGGAGAUGAGAAUGCCCCCUCAAUAGAAUAUUCCUGGAAGGGAUCAAGCAUCCAAUUGAUUCAUUUGCUCCCAUGCUCACCAAUGGAAGGAGAGAGAGGUCACUUCCUUUAACUGUUUCAAGAGACAAUAUCCAGUGGGGGAAGAAAGAGCCUCUGAAGGGAUGGAUGCUGAGCAGCCCAAAACAGCAAGCACACAGUCCAGAGUGGCAGGGGUGAAGACAGUACUGGAAUGCACUCACAGUUCACCUCUUUGACCAGAUUUGGACAUGGAGAAUUUCUCACCAAAGAAGUUCAAACUUGGGAAGCCACAUACUUCCGCUUCUGGGUGGAUUUUGUGCAGAGCCACUUUCUCUUCCUGCCGCUUACAUUCCGACAGAAAAGCACCGUGUAGAGAGGAUGAAGUACUCUCUAAAUCCCAGUAUCUACCGUUGUCUGCCUACCAGCAACAGAAGUUGAGUAGGGAUGGGCAGCAGGAUGGCCCGCAGAGAAUAAGCCUGAAUCAGUAUACCCAUCAGCUGCCAGCCUGGAGAAAAGGGAAAAGCAAGAAUGAAGACUGACAGAAGCUCUGCCCAUAACUGAGUAAAUCCAUCAGGAGCUCCUCAGUCAUCAGAAGAUUUGUAACUCACUGCCAGUGGUGUUGCUGCUGUGAUCUGGACUUCAGAGCUGGAGGAAGGGCAUCUGGAGCAAACAGUCCAGUCAAGAAUUGCUGACUGAUUCUUUUGGCAGUGGGAUACUGGCUCUACAAAAAGAAGAGAAAAGAAAGAAAAAAGGAAAAGAAAAGAACAAAAUAAGAAAGAAAAAGGAAAGGAAGAAAGCCUUGAGUGCAUGUUAAUCUCUGUGGUUCUCAUCAUAGGAAAAACAUCAGAAAUCCCAGCUGAGGAAUAUCCUACAAAACACCUGUCCAGUACUCUUCACAACUGUCAUGGUCACCAAAACAAGGCAAGUCUAAGAAACUGCCUUAGUCCAGAGGACCCGAAGGAGACAUGAUGACUAACUACAAUGUGGUAUCCUGGAUAGGAUACUGGAACAGAAAAGGAACAAGGAGUAAAAACUGAGUAAAUCUUGCUAAAGCAUGGACUUAAGUUAAUAAUGUGUUAAUAUGGGCUUUAGUGUAUAGAGGUUAAUAAUAGAAGACACUGAGUAUGGGGUAUGUGGGAAUAUUCUGGACUAUCCUAACAACUGUCUGUAAAUCUAAAACUAUUAUGAAAUUAAUAGUUUAUUAAAUUUUUUAAGUCUGUAGUUCAACAACUUCAAAUAUGGCUAGAUCUAAGAUCUCAGAUGAUGUCAACCAGAAUGUGUCUCUACAUCUUUCAGAUGUGUUGGCCUAGCUUUCAGGCAGGCUCCCUUCACUCACUGGAACCCUAAUGACUCUAGACCUACAUUAUCCUAGUGGAAGGGAAGUUCUGUUCCUGAUAAUUUUAACUGAAGCUUCGGACCUGGGUCAUGCUUCUGUUCCAGAAUCCAGUCAGUGUGGCCAGGAGGUGUGGGACUCUUACUGACCAGGACUAGACCAUGUGCAGAUAUCUGGAGCUAGGAUACAAUGAGCCCAACCCCCAUCCAAAAGUCUGAGAUCAAAGAUGGCUUUUUAUGUAAAUUGGGUAUUCAGUCUGCUACUAUGCUGCUGAGGGGACCAGCUGCUCCCCUCCACUCAUAGCCUACUUUCCAGGCCUUUAGAAAUUUUCCAAUUUCUAUUGAGAAGAGAGACAACUUCUUGGCUAAUAGGAAGAUCCCUUUGUUGUAGGCCAUCUUGAUUGUCUCUGGCCAGCUUACAAGUGGGCCAGGCUUGGUGAGCAGCCACCUCUACUCUAACCAAAGACCCCUAGGCUGGGUUACUUACCUGAGUGAUAAGGUAGUUUAGCAAGAGAAGAAAGUUAGGCCAGACAAACUCUGGGAUUGGAAAGCUUUAGAUAUUAUUGCCUCACAGAAAUUUUUAGUGAGAAAAACUUUAUUUUUUUGUGUGUCCUAAUUUGCACUUACUCAAGGAGCUUCUAAUUCAUAUAAUUAUUUUAUUCUAAAGAUAAUGCCAUUUAGUAUAUACCUUUUUCUUCCAAUACCUUGGUGCAAAAGUAUCCCCUUUAGCUUCUGUUGCUAUCUGUGAGUUCUCUCAUUCAAUUGUUAUCUCUAUAUACUUUAACCAGAAUAUAUAUAAGGUAGAAUGCAAAAACCUUCUUUUAUGAAGCAUCGUCACCAACAUGUCAGCCCAGUGUCAAAGUGGCUCCAGGGAGAAAGAUGGAAAUAGACUGGUUCUAUCUAUGAGUGCUAGAAGCAUACAUUAAAAGCUUGCAUUAUUAAUUUCUUUGUAAAAUAUUUCUUCAAGAAGUUGUGCAUUGCAAAAUACAAUAUAACAUUCAUACCAAGUGAUACAGGAAUUGCUUUAAGCAAAACUUGUUGUACUCUGUAUAAUGAAUGCUGCAAUAAAAAUACAUAUUCAUUUCCUGAUCACAAAUCACAGCAAUUUAAGCCAUCUUCUCCCUAGCUUUAGUGUUUGGAGGGUAAACUAUAUAUGUGGGUACCACCCCCUUGAACAGAGGAGCGUUCUUCUAUGGGGAGAAGCCUGUCCACAUGGCAUAUUGCACGAAGCUUAUUUACUUCUAAGCCUUUCUCAUUAGGGUUCUGGAAGUGGUGGUGAGGCCAUCAUUUGAAAUACAACCAAAGAAGCACUCCUAUGAUCACAGCACAGUAGGAAAGUAAUCCAUUUUUAAAAUGUGAGUUUGUUCAAGUUGUUCCAUAACAUAUUACCUUGAGUCUAUCAUUGUAGUCCUGAGAAAAGGAUAGAAAAAUCCAAGUCAUCAAAGUACUUUAGAUUUUCUUUAGUGAGAAACUUUCCUUUUGGGGUAUUGUUGAAAUAUGAUUUAUUUAUUUAUUUUAAAGAUUUUAUUUAUUCACGAGAGACACACAGAGAGAGGCAGAGACACAGGCAUAGGGAGAAGCUGGCUCCAUGCAAGGAUCCCGAUGUGGGACUAGAUCCUGGGACUCUGGGAUCACACCCUGAGCUGAAGACAGACACGCAACUGCUGAGCCACCCAGGUGUCCCUGAAACAUGAUUUAAAUGACAUGAUGCUGAGUAUCAAAUAAGCGGAUUUCUGAGGUCACUCCAGGAUUAGGAGAGCAGUGAGGUACCCUUAAUCUUCUUCUUUUUACCAAGAGAGCUAAUAAAUGCCAGUGGCCUCCAUCUGUGACCACUUGUGCCUUUUGGCCAUGACCUCUGAGGAUUUGGACAGCCCUCAAAUCUUCACUGGUGUUAGCAUGAGAGGUGUUCAAUGCAUGUCUUCCUGACCACCAGAGGUUCCAUUUUUCUGGUGUCCUAGGGAUCUGUCCCCUUCUUUAUUCUCUUCUCAGAUCUGAGGGGAACUCUGCUAAGCAAACAACAAACAUUUGCUCAGUUGCUUCUCUCCUGAGAUUUAACAGGGAGCCUGGUACAUUGUUGGUUCUCAUAAAUAUUUGCUAAUUGGGUGAAUGAACAACCUACGAGGUUAGGACUGUUUCUUUGCUUUUCAGAGGUGUGGGCAGACUCACUGGGUCAUGUCACUUCCAGGGAGCCUGUCUGGUUCUAGGGCCCUGGCUCUCAUAUUCUCUCCCCUCUGCCACUUAUAACAGAUUUUCCUCUCAUUUGGCUCUUACGUGUCCUGCAAGUGAUUUUCAGGACAAAACUCAAGUACAGAGAUUUUAAGGUGAUUCAGAAACAUUGAAUUUCUUAACAGUUAUUGCCCCAUUAUUAUUGGCAGCUUGGGAAUUGUGAGGAGUUCAACACACUGAAUUGGAAGACAACUUGAGAAGUAGGGUUUCUGAGAGGCAUGGUAGAUGCCCGGAAUAGCUGUUUGCCCAGGAGAGUUAGGAUAUUGGCUCUACAGGGAACCUAAGAGUUGAAUUAGGUGCAAACUGCCUCCUUCCUCAAAUGUGUCCCCAUACUGCCUCCAGAAUUAUUUCUAAAAUGUGGACGUUAGCCUAUGAAUGACUUCUUAUUGUCCACAGUGUAAACAAUGAAGUCUAAAGCAUGGCCUGCAAGUCUUCCGGAUGAACCAUGUGGUCAGUCUAUCUAUAACCAUCCCAUCCCUCCCCGUUGUGUGGCAGCUUUGUGGGUUACAAAGACCAGCUGUUCAGUUUUAAAGAUGGCUUUGACUGCUCUAACCCAAAAGGAUAGCCCCAUACCUAUCAUUACAGUGAUUGGUUAAGGUGUCCCAGAUGUAUAUCAAUUGGCCCAUGUCCUUCUAUGGUCACAGAAAUUGGUUCGGGGGUGAGUCAGUCAUAAUAAAGUCUGGGACUUUUUUUGGAGGAACAGGCUUUCUUUCUUCCUGUGGAUGUUACUUGGGAAGCAUAUAGCCUUGGUAGUUGGCAGACACUCUGUGACCAUGAGGGGUAACUGGUGUUAAGACGAAGAAGAUAUUACAAAAGAGAG